UCUAAAUUUGGCAUUAUACUGCCAGGGAAAAUUCUACAGUACUGGAGGGUAUCCCAUGCUGUGAGUUUUGUGAAUAUUUGUGACCGUUGGAUCGGUAAUAUAUCCAAGGGUCAUGGAUAUUCGAAACAAGCUGACCUAUUCAGAAGGUAUCCCGUUUGGCCGUCACUCUCAGUUCGUCACCGUGCCUCCAGCGCUGGGCCUCCGUGCGCGGCGCUCCUCCGCUUCGCUGUGCCACCACGGCUCUCUCUCUCUGCGCGACUCUGCCUCGGUCUCCCUCUGUUCCACUCCACUGCUCAUCCAGUCCUUUUCAGCCUCCAGCCCACAGGUUCUCUUUCUCCGGCACGGACCCUUUCCAUCUCAGCCUCUCUCCUUGACCGUCGAGGCGUCGACGGUGACGGACUAACGGUGUCGAAUAGCCUUGAAGUCUCGAACUUGGUUUCUCUCUUCCUCAAGCAGCAAAGCAGAAAGCCAGAAACUGUUGGUUACACUCUGGGUUCGAUUUCUGGGUUUUCACUUACAUUCUGGGUUUCACUUUUCAAGCUUGCUUGGUUACUGAAAUCAAGCUUGGUAAGUUGCUGGGUAUUAUAUAUUUGUAUGAAUGUAUAAUCAUUGUAUGAUUAAAAUCAUUAAAUUGAUUGAGCUUCAAGUUGCUGCAUUUCUGAA